UGGGGAAUAUUGGAUAAUGGGCGCAAGCCUGAUCCAGCCAUGCCGCGUGAGUGAUGAAGGCCCUAGGGUUGUAAAGCUCUUUCACCGGUGAAGAUAAUGACGGUAACCGGAGAAGAAGCCCCGGCUAACUUCGUGCCAGCAGCCGCGGUAAUACGAAGGGGGCUAGCGUUGUUCGGAUUUACUGGGCGUAAAGCGCACGUAGGCGGACUUUUAAGUCAGGGGUGAAAUCCCGGGGCUCAACCCCGGAACUGCCUUUGAUACUGGAAGUCUUGAGUAUGGUAGAGGUGAGUGGAAUUCCGAGUGUAGAGGUGAAAUUCGUAGAUAUUCGGAGGAACACCAGUGGCGAAGGCGGCUCACUGGACCAUUACUGACGCUGAGGUGCGAAAGCGUGGGGAGCAAACAGG
rnacentral:rRNA from 2 species